rnacentral:rRNA from 1 species
AGGCUGAAGGCGACGUGGGCGAUGAGGAUGGUGGUGAACCUGCGGAAGGAUCAAGGGCGAAUUCCUCACACCGUAAGGAUUGACAGACUGAAAGCUCUUUCUUAUCUCAGCGGGUGGUGGUGCAGGGCCGUUCUUAGUUGGGGGAGAGAUUUGUCUGGGCACUUCCGAUAACAAAGGAGACUCUGGGCUAUUAUAUAGAGGAUGUAUCUCGGAGCCUACCGCGCUACUUAGAACCCCAAGAGGGCUCUGCGCUCAUGAAAUAGAUUACUGACGGGUCAGUGAUGUUGUUAGAUGUUUAAACGAACCGCCCCGCUACACUGAAAAAAUCAGUGGGCUAUUGUCCUAUUUUGCAAGAACCGGGUAACCCACGUAAAUUCUUUCGUGCUUGGGAUAGGGAAUUGCUGUUUAUUUCCCUUCAAAGAGGAAUUUCCAGUUAAUUGGGCUCAUAAAGAUCGAGUUGAUUACGUCCCCGCCCUUUGUACACACCGCCCGUCGCUACUACCGAUUGAAUGACUUAGU